rnacentral:rRNA from 1 species
UNUGACUUGAGUGCAGAAGGGGAGAGUGGAAUUCCAUGUGUAGCGGUGAAAUGCGUAGAUAUAUGGAGGANCACCAGUGGCGAAAGCGGCUCUCUGGUCUGUCACUGACGCUGAGGCUCGAAAGCGUGGGUAGCGAACAGGAUUAGAUACCCUGGUAGUNCACGCCGUAAACGAUGAGUGCUAGGUGUUAGGCCCUUUCCGGGGCUUAGUGCCGGAGCUAACGCAAUAAGCACUCCGCCUGGGGAGUACGACCGCAAGGUUGAAACUCAAAGGAAUUGACGGGGGCCCGCACAAGCGGUGGAGCAUGUGGUUUAAUUCGAAGCAACGCGAAGACCUUACCAGGUCUUGACAUCCCGAUGCUAUUCUUAGAGAUAGGAAGUUACUUCGGUACAUCGGAGACAGGUGGUGCAUGGUUGUCGUCAGCUCGUGUCGUGAGAUGUUGGGUUAAGUCCCGCAACGAGCGCAACCCUUAUUGUUAGUUGCCAUCAUUAAGUUGGGCACUCUAGCGAGACUGCCGGUAAUAAACCGGAGGAAGGUGGGGAUGACGUCAAAUCAUCAUGCCCCUUAUGACCUGGGCUACACACGUGCUACAAUGGUCGGUACAACGAGUUGCGAGCCGGUGACGGCAAGCUAAUCUCUGAAAGCCGAUCUCAGUUCGGAUUGGAGGCUGCAACUCGCCUCCAUGAAGUCGGAAUCGCUAGUAAUCGCGGAUCAGCACGCCGCGGUGAAUACGUUCCCGGGCCUUGUACACACCGCCCGUCACACCACGAGAGUUUGUAACACCCGAAGUCGGUGAGGUAACCUUUUAGGGGCCAGCCG